rnacentral:tRNA from 1 species
GGUCGUAUGGUCAAAGUGUAAAGCGCAUGGUCUUACACACCACAGGUAAUGGGUUCAAAUCUCGUCUCGACCU